rnacentral:lncRNA from 1 species
ACUCUUUGUACACUAUUUGUAUACCUUUUCUACACCCUUCCUACAUCUUUCUACAUUUUUUUACACUCUUCGUACAUCUUUUCUACACUCUUUGUAUACCCUUUGUACACCCUUUUUACAACCUUUUUACAUCCUUUGUACACCAUUUGUACACCCUUUAUACACCAAUUGUACACCCUUUGUACACCCUUUGUAUGUCCUUUGUACACCCAUUGUACACCGUUAUACACCAUUUGUACACUCUUUAUAAACUGUUUGUACACCUUUUAUAUAACCAUUAUACACCAUUUGUACACCCUUUGUAUGUCCUUUAUACACCAUUAGUACACCCUUUGUAAACUGUUUGUAUACAUUUUAUACAACCUUUUGUACACUCUUAGUACACCCUUUGUACACUCUUUCUACACUCUUUCUACAUCUUUCUACAUAUUUGUAUACCAUUCGUACACCAUUUCUACACCCUUUGUAUAACCUUCGAAUAUCCUUUGUUCACCCUUUGUACAUCAUUUCUACACUCUUUGUGUAGACCCUUUAUACACAUUUUCUACAAUUAUUUAAAUCCUCGUACACCUUUUGUAAACCCUUUGUACAUCUUGUGUAAACUCUUUGUACAUCCUUUGUACACCUUUUAUAACCAUUCAGACAUCCUUUGUACAUACUUUAUGUACCCAUUGUACUCAGUUUGUACACCUUUCAUAUGCCCUUUCUACACCUUUUAUAUACCCUUUGUACACCCUUGGUACUACCUUUGCACAACUUUUCUAGUACCUUUGUACACCUUUUAUAAACCCUUUGUAAACCCAUUCUACAUCAUUUUUAAAGCCUUUGUACACACUUUGAACACCCCUUAUACAGUCUUUGUACACCCUUUUUNACCCUUUGUAAACCCAUUCUACAUCAUUUUUAAAGCCUUUGUACACACUUUGAACACCCCUUAUACAGUCUUUGUACACCCUUUUUAUACCCUCUGUACAACCAUUGUACUACUUUUGUACACCCUUUAUACACCUAUUGUACACCAUUGGUACACCCUUUCUAACUAUCUCUAUAUAUUUGUACACCCUUUGUAGAUCCUUUAUACAUCAUUUGUACACCCUUUGUACAUCCAUUGUAGACUCUGUCUAUAUCUAUCUUAAUUUUGGUACACCUUUUGUACACCCUUUGAACAGCCAAUAUACACCCUUUAUAAACCUUUUAUACACCCUUUAUACAUCAUUUGUACACCCUUUGUACAUCCAUUGUAGACCCUUUCUAUAUCUAUGUACAUUUUGGUACACCUUAUGUACACCGUUUGUACACCCAAAAUACACCCUUUAUACACCCUUUAUACACCCUUUAUACACCCUUUCUACAUCAUUUAUACACCAUUUAUACACCCAUUGUACACGCUUUUUAUAUCUAUCUAAAUUUUGGAACACCUUAUGUACACCCUUUGUGCACCCUUUGUUUAUGCUUUGUACACCCUUUAUUCACCUUUAUACACCCUUUCUACACCCAUUGUGCAGCCUUUGUACACCCUUAGUACACUCUUUGAGCACCCUAUGUACACCCUUUAUACACCUCUAUACACCCUUUGUACACCCUUUGAACACCCUUUGUACACUCUUUGUGCACUCUUUAUGCACCCUUUAUACACUCUUUGUACACUACUUGUAUACCUUUUCUACACCCUUCCUACAUCUUUUUACAUUUUUUUACACCCUUCGUACAUCUUUUCUACACUCUUUGUACACCCUUUGUACACCCUUCGUACACCCUUCGUACAACUUUUUUACACCCUUUAUACACCAUUUGUACACCCUUUAUACACCAAUCGUACACCCUUUAUAUACCCUUUGUAUGUCCUUCGUACAGCCAUUGUACACAGUUAUACACCCAUUGUAUACCUUUUAUACAACCUUUUGUACACUAUAAGUACACCCUUUGUACACUCUUUCUACACCCUUCCUACAUCUUUCUACAUAUUUCUUUACUCUUCGUACAACAUUUCUACACCUUUCCUAUAACCUUUAUACAUCCUUUGAACACCCUUUGUACAUCAUUGGUACACCGUUUGUACAUCAUUUCUACACUCUUUGUGUAGACCCUUUGUACACAUUCUCUACAUCUAUUUACAUCCUUGUAUAGCUUUUGUAAACCCUUUGUACAUCUUGUGUAGACCCUUUGUACAUCCUUUGUACCCCUUUUAUAACCAUUCAGACAUCCUUUGUACAUACUUUAUGUACCCUUUGUACUCAGUUUGUAGACCUUUCGUACACCCUUUCUACAUCUUUUAUAUACCCUUUGUACACCCUUGGUACUACCUUUGUAUAACUUUUCUACUACCUUUGUACACCUUAUAUAAACCCUUUGUAAACCCAUUCUACAUCAUUUUUAAAGNUAUAAACCCUUUGUAAACCCAUUCUACAUCAUUUUUAAAGCCUUUGUUCACACUUUCAACACCCCUUAUACAGUCUUUGUACACCAUUUGUAUACCCUUUGUACUAAUUUUGUACAACAAUAAUACACCUAUUGUACACUCUUUGUAAACCAUUGGUAGACCCUUUCUAACUAUUUCUAUAUAUUUGUACACCUUUCGUACACCAUUUGGACACGCUUUGUAUACCAUUUAUACACCCUUUAUACAUCAUUUCUAUACCCUAUGUACAUCCAUUGUAGACCCUUGCAAUAUCUAUGUACAAUUUGGUACACCUUAUCUACACCCAAUAUACACCCUUUAUACACCUUUUAUACACCCUUUAUAGACCCUUUCUACAUCAUUUCUAGAUCAUUUAUACACCCAUUGUACACGCUUUUUCUAUCUAUCUAAAUUUUGGAACACCUUAUGUACACACUUUGUGCACCCUUUGUCCAUGCUUUGUACAUCCUUUAUUCACCUUUAUACACCCUUUCUACACCCUUCGUGCAACCUUUGUAUACCUUUAGUACACUCUUUGAACACCCUAAGUACACCCUUUAUACACCUGUAUACACCCUUUGUACACCCAUUGAAUAUCCUUUGUACACUCUUUGUGCACCCUUUAUACACUUUUUGUACACUAUUUGUAUACCUUUUCUACACCCUUCCUACAUCUUUCUACAUUUUUUUACACCCUUCGUACAUCUUUUCUACACUCUUUGUAUACCCUUUGUACAACCUUCGUACACCCUUUGUACAACCUUUUUACACCCUUUGUACACCAUUUGUACACCCUUUAUACACCAAUUGUACACCCUUUG